rnacentral:misc_RNA from 1 species
UCUCCGUAGGUGAACCUGCGGAGGGAUCAUUACCGAGUGAGGGCUCACGCCCGACCUCCAUCCCUUUGUAAUCCAUACCAUGUUGCCUCGGGGGCGACCCUGCCUUCGUGCGAGGCGCCCCCGGAGGCUCAUUAAACACUGCAUCUUUGCGUCGGAGUCUUAAUGAAUUUAAACAAAACUUUUAACAACGGAUCUCUUGGUUCUGGCAUCGAUGAAGAACGCAGC